GRGGRMAAGUCUGGUGCCAGCAGCCGCGGUAAUACCAGCUCCAGUAGCGUAUGCUAAAGUUGUUGCAGUUAAAAAGCUCGUAGUUGUGUUUGUYUCCGGCGGCCGGGGCGCGCCUUGCUAAGGCACGGCGUGCACGGGCCGACGGAAUGAAAUUUUGGGCUGGAUGGCGCGUGGUCUUCACUGGUCGCGCGCCAGGCGGCCCAUCGUUYACUGUGAGAAAAUUAGAGUGUUCAAGGCAGGCGUUUGUAAUUGAAUAUGUUAGCAUGGAAUARUGAGAUAUGGCUCCCGUUUGUUGGUUUUGUGACGUGGAAGUAAKGAUUGAGAAGGACURUCGGUG
rnacentral:rRNA from 1 species